rnacentral:rRNA from 1 species
AUGGCGUUGCUGUCUGGUUGUAGCUGCUCCCGCUGCAUCCUCGCUCAAACGCCACCAGAGGAUGAGCCCCUCGCACUUGGGGCCACGCCCUGCCCCCGCUGCUGUUUCGUCCUUCAGCGCGCAACCGCGCCAUGGCCGCUGCCUCCUCCCCCACGAUCUUCAAACACCCCGCUCCACCAUAGCGCUCCACUCCAGCCCGCCAGCCACUGCAGCAGUCGGCCUGGUCUCCACGCCGGCUCCAGGUCGCCUCCCCAAGCUAGGCCGCGUCCGACCUCGCGUCGGCUCCCCGACGCCGCCCCGGGCUUGGCCGGGUUCGGCCCCAUCCGCCGGCCGGAUCCCCCGCUCCCUCCGCAUCCCGGACGCCGACUUGCCCGAUCCCCGGCUCGGCCCGCGAACCCGACGACUCGGCCGGCUACUCCAGCCUCCCCGAGGCCCUCCUCCUCGCCAGGCCAAGCCUGCUGCCCGGCUACUUCGCGCGCCAUCUCCGCCCGCGGCGCCGGGUUCGACUGCUCCCGCACAGCGCCGGGACCGGGUCCGGCUUCCCUCCUCCGACUCGGCCGCGCUCGCUCGCCGGCUUCGCGCGACCGACCCGUCCGACGCCCAGCGACCCGGCCACGCCGGCGUCCCGCGACCCGUCCGACGUCCCGCGACCCGGCAACCCCGCGCAGGCCGGCUUCCUCCCGCGGCCCUCCGCCUCCUCCGCGAACCCGGCCGGAGCCGGCUUCUCGUCUGCCGCCUCCCGCGCCCGCCCCUGCGUCCGCACGCGACCGAUGUACUCCGCCUCCGUCGUGGGCUCCCCGUGGUCCGGCUCUGCCUGGCCGCCUUCGCGCGCACGCGGCCGGGUCACACGCUCCGUCCGCCUCGCCGGGUCCGUCUCCGUCCGUUAGCUGGCCAUCCCGCGUCCCGUCCGCCGGCGGGGCUCGCUCGCCGACCCUCGGCGUCCCGGACGCCGGCUCGCCCGACCCCGUCCGGCCCCGCGCCUGGCCAGGUCCGGCUCUGGGUCGCCGCGUGCGCCCUGCUCCGCGGCUGUCUGGCCGUUUGAAGAAAGAAAAGUCAGAGGAAUGA